AGAGUUUGAUCCUGGCUCAGGAUGAACGCUAGCGGCGGGCUUAAUACAUGCAAGUCGAACGGUAACAGGUCUUCGGACGCUGACGAGUGGCGCACGGGUGCGUAACGCGUACACAACCUACCCUAAAGAGGGGGAUAGCUCCGGGAAACUGGGAAUAAUACCCCAUAGUACUACUAAGUUGCAUAAUUUGGUAGUUAAAGGUUUACUGCUUUAGGAUGGGUGUGCGAGCCAUUAGGUAGUUGGAGAGGUAACGGCUCACCAAGCCGACGAUGGCUAGCUGGUCUGAGAGGAUGAUCAGCCACACGGGCACUGAGACACGGGCCCGACUCCUACGGGAGGCAGCAGUAAGGAAUAUUGGACAAUGGGCGAAAGCCUGAUCCAGCCACGCCGCGUGCAGGAUGACGGUCCUAUGGAUUGUAAACUGCUUUUGUCAGAGACGAAAGUGUAUGAUUUAUCAUAUUUUGACGGUAUCUGGCGAAUAAGCACCGGCUAACUACGUGCCAGCAGCCGCGGUAAUACGUAGGGUGCAAGCGUUAUCCGGAUUUACUGGGUUUAAAGGGUCCGCAGGCGGUCUGCUAAGUCAGUGGUGAAAUAUCAGGGCUCAACCUUGAUGCUGCCAUUGAUACUGGCGGACUUGAGAAUAGUAGAGGUGGGCGGAAUGUACAUGUA
rnacentral:rRNA from 1 species